CUUUGAGAAAGCCGUUGUCCAGCUGAGCUGUGUGGGUGGGACAAAUCUAAUAUUCCUUCUUUAAAUAAAUACUUCUUGUUAUGAAUCCAAUUCAUAAUUAAGCUCUUCGAUCUUAAUCACUGCCAAUUAAUCUCUCUCUUUUUCUUUGUUCCUUUUGUAUUUCAUCUUUGGGUAUGGCUGCUUAUCAUAUAUCUUUAUUAUUACGCGGAGGCUGGUCAUCAUCAGCUGUGGCUGUGGGCUUUGCUAUAUGCAUCCUUGUGCUAUCGAAUACCAGUACUUGUGGUGUUGCUGCUGCUCGUCAGAUGGAGGAGAUCCCGUCGCCGAUGCCGAGAAGUCUUCUGGCAAAUGAACUUGCUCCAACACCACCUAUGGGAUGGAAUAGUUGGAAUCACUUUGCCUGCCACAUCCAAGAGGAAUUGAUCAGGGAAACAGCGGAUGCAAUGGUGUCAACCGGACUUGCAGCACUGGGAUAUAAGUAUAUAAAUCUAGAUGAUUGCUGGGCUCAACUCAAUAGAGACUCUAAGGGAAAUUUGGUACCUAAGGCUUCAACGUUUCCCUCUGGAAUAAAGGCAUUAGCAGAUUAUGUCCAUAGUAAAGGGUUGAAACUUGGGAUCUAUUCUGAUGCUGGAAAUGAGACAUGCAGUAGACAAAUGCCCGGAUCACUAGGUUAUGAGGAACAAGAUGCAAAUACUUUUGCUUCCUGGAGGGUUGACUACUUGAAGUAUGAUAACUGUUAUAAUGAUGGCACAAGCCCAAAGGAAAGGUACCCAAAAAUGAGCAAAGCUUUAUUGAAUUCUGGAAGACCCAUCUUCUUCUCUCUAUGUGAAUGGGGACAAGAAGACCCUGCGACUUGGGCUGCAAGGAUCGGAAAUAGUUGGAGAACGACAGGAGAUAUUCAGGAUAGCUGGGAGAGCAUGAUAUCUCGUGCAGAUCAAAACGACAAAUGGGCAUCUUAUGCUGGACCAGGAGGAUGGAAUGAUCCUGAUAUGCUUGAAGUUGGAAAUGGAGGAAUGACAACAGAGGAGUACCGUGCACAUUUCAGUAUAUGGGCGUUAGCUAAGGCUCCUUUAUUGAUUGGAUGCGAUAUUCGAUCAAUGGACAAUAUGACAUUUGAAUUACUAAGCAACAAGGAAGUUAUUGCAGUUAAUCAAGAUAAACUUGGAGUUCAAGGGAAAAAGGUUAAGAAGGAUGGAGAUUUAGAGGACCUUCUAUUCCUUAGUGACGCUUCGCCGUCUAGCAACUUGGGGGCUUGGACUUGAACCUACAGAAGAAGCAUUAGCCCACAAGCUUACUACUCGUCAAUGAAAAUAAGGGGAAAUGUCUUGCUGCUGGUGAUGAGGUUGUCCAAUUUAGGGACAGGGUCCCUAUCUAGACUCGUCCACCUGCUGGCCACAUUGAAGCUCAUCCUUCCAGCCUCGUUGGAAAAAAGGAAGACUGUGUCUAAGAAACUGGACAUAGGUAACCUUUCUAGCCGUCAAGGUAAUAAGAAGCAGAAGGUUGAUUCUUCAAUGCCGUCCACCACUCUUAUCGUGGUUCUUAACCCUGCCGUUCCUACUGCUAAAUCUAUGGUCCCCAAGAUCGAUGCUUCCCUCACUCGUCUUGAUGCAAAACCGUCUAACCCUUCUCUUAAAGCCCUUCUUUUUGACGACGGUCCCUUGACUCUUCUAAGGAGUGAGAACCUAGCUUGGAAUAGUUUCAAGCAAGUGGUGAGAAAUGAGGACGUCUCCAUAUGCUACGAUAUGUCCAUCAAGGAAUUCGAGCAUUCCACAAUCCAUGAUCUCUUCAAGGCAAGUCGUGUAUUUGGAUAAAGAGAGGAUCAGGAUGAAGACGAAGAUAAGGGACAUGGAGGAGUCAAGUCGUAAGGUUGGGGAGAGGAGGAAGUUGGCGGAUGAGGUGAAAGAGUUGAAGAACCUUGCUGAGGAGUUGAAGGUGGACAUUGUCGAGAAGGAUACUUGUCUGGACCAUCUUUAGAAGCAGAAUGACGAGCUCAGGUCCUCUCUGAGUAAAUCUAAAGACGAGGUCAUCAAGGAAUUCAAGACAUCAGUUAGUUUACUGACCUCCUGGACAAGAAAUACGCUGCGAGCUUCGAGGACUUCUGUAUAGAUGCCGUCGAAGCUUUUCCUGGGGUGGAUUUUGAUUCCAUCAAGCUCUUCACUAUAGCUAAGAGUUCCUUGCCCCAGACUAGCUCAGAGGAUGUAAAUAUUGAAGACGAUGCCUUUACCCCUCAUCCCAUGAAGGACGACUGAAAGUCUGGGGGUGUUGCCCUUAGUGGUUUAUCCUAGUAGUUUAAUUUGUAAGCAAAAAUUUAUUUUCGUCAUCAUCAUUUUCUUUU